rnacentral:rRNA from 1 species
AUUGAACGCUAGCGGGAUGCUUUACACAUGCAAGUCGAACGAGUGGCGGACGGGUGAGUAAUAUAUCGGAACGUGCCCAUUAGCGGGGGUUAACUAUUCGAAAGAGUGGCUAAUACCGAUAACUAUUGGAGCGGCCGAUAUCGGAUUAGCUAGUUGGUGGGGUAAGGGUCCACAAAGGCAACGAUCCGUAGCGGGUUUGAGAGGACGACCAGCCACACUGGAACUGAGACACGGCCCAGACUCCUACGGGAGGCAGCAGUGGGGAAUUUUGGACAAUGGGGGAAACCCUGAUGCAGCCAUCCCGCGUGUAUGAGAAGGCCUUCGGGUUGUAAAGUACUUUCGGCAGGGAAGCGGUAUCUGCAGAAUAAGCACCGGCUAACUACGUGCCAGCAGCCGCGGUAAUAC